UUGGAGCUGCAGAGGUAGAGAAAGAGAGGAAAGGAUCCUGGGGGAAGGCAAGAGGGCGCGGGACACCGACCGAGGCCCUCUUCCCACUCUCCGCGAGCGACCUGGCGGGGGCUACGGGCUGUCCCACCACUCCAGCCCGCCACCCGCGUGGGCCCCGGCAUCCCGCGUGCGCCUGGCUCCCCGGGCUUUGCCUCCUGUGCCCAGCCGGCCGCGGCAUCCUCCCUCAGACAACCCUACGCGGCUCGCCAAAGUGUUUUGGUGCUGGUGGAGCAAACUCACGCCCCUAGCCAGCCUUCUCAGCAACUCGUGCCAAGAGUACUCGUUCACCAGCGCCGCCCCUUUAAGAGAUUUCGACUGCAGACAUUUUUUUAACUUUUUAAAGACAGGAUGAAGUAAUCCGAAAAGGGCUGGAGUGCAUGACCUCCAACUGAAGUUCUCUGAGGAGCUUCUAUCAAACUAAGCAACCAAGAAAUACAGAAGUUAGGUUGUGUUAGACUGAGAAGUGCCAUUAAGAACUUCUAGAAGUAAGACUGCAUAAAAUGAGGCCAAAAGAGAAGGAAAAUCCAAGGCAUGUUAUUUAAAGAUGAUUUUAAAGAUUUUAAAUACUGAAAUAUUAGAUGUGAGCUUUGGCCCUUAAGACCUGCCUUCUUUUUUUGGUUCCUGAACAUUUCUGACACACACCUAAAUCCUUUAAAAUAUGUGUGUUUCUGUGAAUGGGUGUGUGGUAUGGUACAAAUUCCCAUAGAAAUUACUAUAAUUUUAAAAUAUGUGCUGAGCACCUCCUUGAAAUAGAUGGUAACAGCCUGGUGAGCAAA